ACAGGUUGUCUGCAGUGGUUUUCCUCUUGGAUUUAGCUUGCCCAUUACACUUGGAGACUUUAAAAUACUACUUCCUGCAGUUAAUUAAGAUUAUCGAACAAAUGAGUUCAGUUUGGCUGUACUGAAACGGCCAAUAUCUACAUGGGUGUUGUCUAUUCUGGACUUGGUCUUGAUUUGCUAUUUUUGUCUUCACCUCGCAACGUAUGCAGUUAAUUUUCAAUCAAUGAGUGGAAGCAACUGGAAACUUAUUUGAACAACAGACUUUCUGCCAUGGUAUUCUGGAUUUGGUUUGCUUUUUACACCUGCGAACAUUGAGAGGUUGCAGUCUACAGUUAAUUAAGAUCGACGCUGGAGAAGACAAAGAUGACCCCGUAGUUGAAA